UCUUCUCUGAUCGACGCCCCUUUUUACAGUGACCUCUUUUGAUAAUGAAACGACACACCUUUUAAACUGAUUAAUAGAUUGAAGAACUGGUUUGAGCCGUUGUUUUUUUCUGAGAACGCUUCUCAAUCCAAGUCCCAAAGGAAAAGUUUUGGUUCAACGGCUACAAUUGAUUUCUAAUAGAUCUCGCCGCGAAUCUAAACUACCGCCGCCGUCUCCGUUGAUGACGAGAAACCGACGUUAUAAAGUUGAUCAGAGAGAAGAGUAAGAAGUAAGAAGAAAGUUGUGGCGGUGACAACUCUGCCAUGGACGGAAUUGAAAAGCUAAAAGUUCAGAAAAUAAGAUAGGAAGUUUGUCUGUUAAAGCUUCGCUGUUUCUUGGGUCGUAAGCUACCGGAGCAGACGUCAGUGGUUAAACCCGGGUCUAUUAAAGACACAGACCUAACCCCCGGAUGGAGGUACAGCCCACGGAUAGACCCUCUCCUGGGCAUUCAAAUGAGCCGAAAACAAUAGCCCAUAUUCGUGUGGCCAGCGGGGUUUGAACCGGUUCAAACUAAUUAUCCAUUCCUUAUUUCACAUAUAUGUUCUUUUUCAUCUCUUGCAUGUUCUCAACUUACGGUUACAUGUUAUUUGUCUGAUUAGGCUGGUUCCAUAUGGCAAAAGAAUCUAGAUAUCUAUUGAAUAUUUAUAGCUGUAGUCCGAGUAGGCUUUUUCUUGUGAAUGUGAUUGUAUUACAGAUCCAGCAUCACCCCUGGGACAGUACCGAUCAUCCUUUUUUUUUAACCAACUACCCUCUGUUUUUCUUUUUUGUGACCGAUCAAUGAUUGCCAGAAACUGAAAGUCUCUGAUGUUAGCCUCGAUAAAUUUGAUGAUCAGUAUUUUGGAAAGGUAGCCGAGAAGAAGACCAGUAAGGGAAAAGGAGAGUCCGAUGGAGCCGUGGAUGUAUAUCUCUGAAUUAUACUUUCCUUUUAUUAUUCUCAAAUUGUAAACAGUACAAACCUGAGCACAAAUCCUAUGCACGGGAGCUCAUCUUAAACGUUAUCUUGUUUUUAUUUUCCUAUAAAAAAUUGCUAACAUCAAUGCGGGUUUACUAUUAUAUAUAUAUAUAUAGAUAAUGGUAACGUUACCAUUAGACAUAA